AGUUUUCUCAUCUAAAAAUAAUUAUGACUUCUUUCCCCUCUCAUACUCCAAACAAUAGUUUGUCGGAGUUGCAUUUUAUGGCACAAAACCGAAGGUUUCGGACAAUCUUUUUAUGCCUUUUACGGCAGAGUAAUAAUGAUAACUUAUUCAUAUUUCUCAGUCUUGAAGUAGGUGAAUCCGGAGCGGAUCCUCUCAUCCGGGUUGAACUCUUUCUUCGCUCCUCCAUUAGUGGCGUUUCCAUAUGAUUCCUCAGCCAUUUUCUUGACCU
rnacentral:lncRNA from 1 species